rnacentral:rRNA from 1 species
AUGGCUUCUUCUUCCAGCGCUCGAAGCAGCUGUGUGGCCACAUGCCUCGUGCUGCUUCUCCUGCUCGUCAGCCUGCGAGAAGCCUCCGCCGCGCGCCCGCUACGGCCGGCCGGCGACGUGUCCAGCGAGGUGAAGUACCCGGCGGUCGUCGACAAGUACGCGCCCCUUCUGCUCGCCAUGCUGCCGAGGGCCCCGACUCCGCCGUCCGCCCCGAGCGGUGGCACGAACGAGGCCAGGAACUGA